AUAAUAUAAGAUACAGUCUCUUAGCUUUUAACUAAAAAAGCUAAGAGACGUUUCUUAAAUAAAAAAAUAUAAAAAAUGUCUUUUAGCUUUUUUAGUUAAAAAUUAAGAGACUAUAUCUUAUAUUAC
rnacentral:pre_miRNA from 1 species